UCAAAAUAAUAUCUAAAACAUAUUUAUAAUAGAGAAAUAGUUCAAUUACCCCUCCAUAAAAAUCGAAAAUUAAGUUAAAUCUUUAUGAAAAUAUCCUACUAAAUAAUAAUAUAGUUUUUGUAAUCAGUAUCGCUGAAUUUAAUGGAAGGCACCUCACUUUAAAUAUGAGUAAUAAUAACAAGAGUAUUUUUAGUUAGAUCUGAGUUGAUUACGUUUAUAAUUGUUGAUACAAUAUAAGCUCUAACUACAUUAAAAGUUCAAAUCGAGAGUAUGGUUCUGUUAAUUUUUCUUUUGAUCUUGUUUUGAAUGAAUACAAUACGGAUUAGGAUCGACAAAUUUCUAUUAGUGCAUUCCAAGCAGUAGGGCUUCUCCAGGACCACCGUCUGCCCCCUCAGAUAGUAUAAAACUUUGAAGAAGAAGAAGGUAUCUGUCAAAAAGGCCAAACUGUACCUGGAGAAGUUUAAAAAACAAACAGCCUAUGCCAAUCCCCCUCGAGUCUAUGGGGGGGGGGCAUGCAAGUGAUCUCGUGGUUUCACACCAGAUUGUCAAGAGAGUGAUACAAAAGUGGAUGGAAAGAGCUUGGUGAGAGUGGAGAUGCCACUUUUUACAACAACAAUGAAAGAAACCGGUCUCAUCCGUUGCAAGACUCUUUCGAAUGAGUAUUUUGAAUUCUUUUGAAUUCUUUUUUGACACUUUAGCCCCUAUACAGUACUGAAUCCAAUCCUUUCAAUUACAUCCUUUGGGUAUAUGUCAAGGGAAAGACCAACAAUGUCUGUCAUCCAAACACCGGGACCCUGAAAGUUACUGUCAGUCAGCAAUGGAACGCCAUGAUAGAUGACUAAAUCCAUAGCGGGCCCAAGCUUUCCGCCACCAUCUGAAAGCCAUCAUUCUUCGACAUUAAUGAUUAAGAAAGCUCAGACGCACAUCUAUUUAUAGUAUUAUUAUUUUUUAAAUCUACUGUUAAUUAAUAAAGUAUACCUUUUUUCAAGUUUAAAAUUCAAAGUGUUCAGAUUUUAAUGAACCCCUCGGAAUAAAUGAUGAAUCUAAUGUUAUUUAUAAGAUAUAAUUAACAUUUUAAUAAUACUAUCGGUAGUACCAGAGUUAUUAAACAGACAAACUGUGCUUUAAUAAUAACGAACAGUGGUUUCUAUUCUUAUCGAAGGUAAUGAACCCUGCAAGCUUCAUCAGUGCAUUCACCGAACUCCUGAAUGAAUGGAAAAAUAAAUAUGAUUUCUUCAGAGCAUAAGUAAAUAUUUUAUAAGUGUACAAAAUUAACCAUGGAUCUGUUCCAACCAAAAACCACUGUGUUUAAAGAACAAAAGUAACGAAACAUUAAUUUUAUACAAAAACCUAGCUCAAUGAAUAUUAGCAGCAAAUCAAUAUGCCUUUUGCUGUUGCCUUUCAAAGACAAGUUCAGAAAUGCAUGACUUCAUCUUGGCAACUGUCACUCUCAUAUCGUUUACAACGGUAUAUUCAUUUUCUUCGCUUUUAUCUCCACAAUCCUGUUUUUUACAAACGGAUGAGUAUCUCCAAGGCUUUCUUUUGCAAUAAGAGUGUAUGGUAGAGUUUUUUUUUUUUUUUUUUUUAAUGUUCCUUUAAUUGGUUAGAUGGAGUGACUGAUUAAGUAUAAGUCAACAUUAUAGUAUUAAAAUUACUCCAUCUAACCUAGGAAUCUUUUGGUGAAAUCCAUAUACAUAAAGUAUAUUUUUUUCUGUAGGAAUUACCAAGGCGCGAACGUACACAUAUCAAGUUCAAGACAAUAACUUGCGAGCGUGCUGUCCAUGAGCUAUAGCGAUUCUGUAUGGUACGAUGUAUUGACACCAAAACGGUUGAAGCUGGCUCUGCUGAAGUUCAUUAAUUUCAUAUUGACAUUCGUCGUUAACGUUUGCUGCCGCAACACUAAACGUUAAAGGAUGUCUCACCCUCGCUGGAUAUGUACUUGUGGUUAGGAAGUUAACAUCGAAAGACUUUAUAAGUUCUUUUAAGUACAUGGCAAUUGCUUGUUUUAGCUCCCUAAGUACAAAAAUGUAUUUAAUUCUAGCCACGUUCCAACAAAGAAAAGUUUGCAAAAUUAUCAUUCUUUGUUUGUUGUUUCCGAAACAAUAAUUUUUUUUAUAUACCAUCCAAUUUUUUUCGGCUUCGACGAUGUUGAGCCCACCGUGCUGCAUCUGUCGAUUGAGAGCACCGAAAAUAUCUGACAUGUACGCCAAACUGAGAAUGAACUCAGAAUUUUGAAGUAAUCUGCGUUAAAAUGUCUGUGGCCUUUUUAUAAAAUCUGGUUAUCUUCACCUUGAAUUAAGAAAUUGUUUUGCUCUUGUAUUCCCCAUCUCUCAUAGAGCCCAUCGAAGACAAAUACUAAAGAACACACAAACAUAACAGAAGAAACCUGAUAGUAUAAAAACAUACUCCUAGAAAAAAAACAAAAAAACACACACACAGAAACAAAAAAACAAAUCAAAAAAACAAAUGAUAUCAUUUUAAAAAUUGAAGUCCAUAAAAUUAAGAUUGCUUGUUGUUUAGCACUUGGAGCUAUUGUAGGAGAAUGGUAAACUAAAAAUCGAUAAAAUAAACAAAUAUUAAAAAAAAGACUAAAAAAAACAAAAAAACCCAACAACAAAGAAAAACAUAAAAUAACCAAAAAAAUUAGAAAUCCGUACAAAUUACCUAGGAUUUGCCUAUUUUUAUGUCUACUGAAUAUUUUGAUAAUGUUAUUUAAAAUUUUAAUGUAUUUGAUUGAGUUUUCCGGCAAAUACCGUAUAAUAUCCAGUGCUGAAUCAAAUGUCAAUGUAUUUUCCUUAGAUAUUUUUAAUUCAAAACCUAUUUAUCUUGACGCCGACGCAAUAAGUAUGUUUCUUAACUCCAUGCAAUCCUUUGGUUUAUUCAAAUUCAACUUUUUUGUAAUAUAAAACUUAGAGUUUAGCAUACAAAAACCGACUCUUUUAACCUUUUUCGAAGGAAUUCACAAAAAAAGAAAGAAGAACAACCUUACCUAUAAAACAUAACAAUAAUAUUAUAAAAAUAGCAUCAGACAAAUUAGUGAAUAAAUAUCUAAUUAAAUAUAUAAUAACAACACGCAUGAUAAAAAGCAAAAUUCAUUAAGAGCAACGUAGGCUAUAUUUUUCUGAAGUUUUCAUAGUUGGACAAGGCAAUCAUGUUUUAUAAUUUUGCUAUGGAUUUGGAUCCAAUUAUGAAUGGACCAGUCAUAUCGUUGAAGCCAUAAAUUUUUUCCUCUUGAAUGUGCCCUCUCCCGGGGUACUGAGUGAGUCGUUCAGCCAUUAUAAACCAUAUUCCUUUUAGAUAUUCACAGUCACAAAAAAUAUGGGCGAGUGUUUUAUUUUUGUUAGAGUCUCUGCAAGGCGUGUCUCUAUUUAUAUAAUAUACUCCAAAGGCAAUACAGUAUCUCAGGUAGGACUGUUAAGAGUGAGAUAUGGAUCGAAUCAGGAACCUCACUGGAUCAUUCUAUCCUUUAUUUUGCAUUUUAAAGUGUUACAAAGAUCGUUUGGAAGGUGUCUUUUUCUCACUCACUCCUUAAUUGCAUUAUUAUUGAUAUUUAGUGCUACUCUUAGAUGAAGUGUUUUUUGGUUGGUUGGAAGAACCUUAGCAGGGAAUUGUGUACUCACGAUCGGAUGGUGGAUUAGAUCAUUGGUAAUUACAUCAUUUACGGUGUUAAGAUUCAGCUCCUUUCCGAUCUUAUUAGGAAGACCUAUUUGUACCUCUGGGUUUCCAACUAGAGAGCGUUUGCCCCCACUGACCUCCAAUACAUCUUGAGGAUGUCAUAGGGUGGCUUUAAUUUCUUCCAUGUAGAUGAUGUCGGCGUAUUCGUAUUAGUCCCACUGCAUGCCUCCGUGUAGAUGAUGUCGGCGUAUUCGUAAUAGUCCCACUGCAUGCAUCUAUUUAGAGUGUUUUACAAGGAUAAUCAACAAGAUGUACUCUCUGGUACCAAGGAUAAAUCAAAAUUUCCAGUGCAAAUCUUGGUCCAUCAUUCCGAGUCCCCCUCUAGCCAUUGGUAAGAAGAGUCUAAUAUGACUGAUUGAUUUUGGAGUGCCAACCAACUCUAUGCACUUUCUCUUCCAAUCUGUCAAAAGGGUUGCAUCGAGGAAGUUGAUUAAUUCAUGAGAGUAUUGUAAUAUUCCAACAUUUUUUUAUCAAGAACCCCAAGUUUGUGCUUCUGGACUUCUAUUAUUGGGUCGGAUAUUUUCUCAUAUAGUCGACGUAUGUUCUGGGAUCUCCAAUCCUCCAUUGAAACCGCAUUGACAAGGACCAAUGCUUUUUGAGCAAGAUACGUAGCACUAAUUUUGUUUAUUUUUUCCUUCGAGUUUGUCAAUAUCUGUGUUUUCUUAUCAUUAAUUACUAAACCAGACUCUCUUCCAUAUUUUUUCAGGAGCGUAAACAGGCUGGCUCUUUCUUCCUCGAAUGUGUUGCUUCUUAGUAUGACCGUGCAAUAGUCUGCAGAAAAACAGGGUUCUCAUUGCCAAUGAAAAGGGACUAGGACUUAUGGGAUACCCUUGACGCAUUCUUCUUUACAAUUCGACCACUGGGUCUCCUUCGAUAACAAUGCUUGAUGUUGCGUUGGACAUUAUAUUUUCAAUUGCUUUGCAAUAUAUUUGUGGAAAUCCUAUAUUUUUCAUCUCACUCAAUAGAAAGGAAUGUUCUAUAGAAUCGAAAGUUUUUUUUAAAUCCAAAAAGAGAAAAGAAAAACUUUGGGUUGUCUACUUCAAAAAUUCAACAAUCGAUUGGAGAGGCAUUACUAUAUCUUCUGUUGAGCCUCCCUUUUCUAAAGCCAAACUGAGUAUCUGAGAGCACUUUUUCCAUUAGUCUGACAUCCACUGUAAAUUAUAUAUUCUAUUUCCAAUAAAGUUACCAACCCCAA
rnacentral:lncRNA from 1 species